GUCAACGCGUUCACCUCAAACCCUCAACCUUACCCACAGCUGCUCUCGACGCCUGACCCCGAUUCUUUUGAUCUGUGUAGAUAUUUUGGAUUGGCAUUUCUCUUUAUCAGAAAGUCACUUGAAUUCAAAAACAGAUUACUUGCUGGAAAAACUCUGCGGGCCUGGCAGCAUCUGUCGAGGCAAAUCAGAGUUAACGGUUCUGGUCCAGACCCUUCUUCAGAACUGGAAUCAUUUGGGUUCUUGUAAUUUUUGGGGUACAUUUUAGCUUUUUUUUCCAAUUCAGUAAGUUUAGCCGGAUGGCUUAAAGUUUGGCUAGAUAACGUGCAUAAAUUACUAAAAGGGAAAACAUUAUACAAGAAAAUACGCUGUACUGCUAAGGUCACUGUGAAGGUCCUGCUUUCUCAACCUUAUGUGGGGUGUGGUGACCCUCAGAUUAAACUCGCAACCCAGUUGUUUUCCAGUAAUGAGAGCAGCUCCCUGGGAAUAUGACAAUUUUACCUUUCAGAUCAACAUUCUUACAGGAGCAGGAGUCCUCUAAAACAUGAAAGCAAAAAAAUCCAAAGAAGGCAAUUUUCUUUGUAUUUGGUUUCUGUAGUUCAGCAGGAAACCAGAUGGAACUGGAUUUGUACUCCCCUGAGAAUGCAGUACAGAGAGAUAUACAUAGGCAGUGCUAAAUCCGAAACACCUGACGCUGAGGUAACUAAGUUGCUUUAUCUGCCUGACCGUCUGGGGAUAGUGGUCUGAUACAGGGAUUUACCAAGAGCUUCGAAGAAUGUGAUCGUCAUUUCAUCUGAGGUGAUCUCUA